GUGGGGAAUAUUGCGCAAUGGGCGAAAGCCUGACGCAGCGACGCCGCGUGAGGGAUGAAGGCCUUCGGGUUGUAAACCUCUUUCAGCAGGGACGAAGCGAAAGUGACGGUACCUGCAGAAGAAGCACCGGCCAACUACGUGCCAGCAGCCGCGGUAAUACGUAGGGUGCAAGCGUUGUCCGGAAUUAUUGGGCGUAAAGAGCUCGUAGGCGGCCUGUCGCGUCGGCUGUGAAAACUCAGGGCUCAACCCUGAGCCUGCAGUCGAUACGGGCAGGCUAGAGUCCGGCAGGGGAGACUGGAAUUCCUGGUGUAGCGGUGAAAUGCGCAGAUAUCAGGAGGAACACCGGUGGCGAAGGCGGGUCUCUGGGCCGGAACUGACGCUGAGGAGCGAAAGCGUGGGGAGCGAACAGGAUUAGAAACCCUAGUAGUCC
rnacentral:rRNA from 1 species